rnacentral:rRNA from 1 species
AUCCUGGCUUAGGACGAACGCUGGCGGCGUGCCUAAUACAUGCAAGUCGAACGGUCUUUCUAUGGAAGCUUGCUUCCACUGAGAAGAUAGUGGCGAACGGGUGAGUAACACGUGGGUAACCUGCCCAUAAGAGGGGGAUAACAUCCGGAAACGGGUGCUAAUACCGCAUAGUUUUCUUGAUCGCAUGAUCGGGAAAGGAAAGACGGCCUUUGUGCUGUCGCUUAUGGAUGGACCCGCGGCGUAUUAGUUAGUUGGUGAGGUAACGGCUCACCAAGACGAUGAUACGUAGCCGACCUGAGAGGGUGAUCGGCCACAUUGGGACUGAGACACGGCCCAAACUCCUACGGGAGGCAGCAGUAGGGAAUCUUCCGCAAUGGACGAAAGUCUGACGGAGCAACGCCGCGUGAGUGAAGAAAGGUUUUCGGAUCGUAAAACUCUGUUGUCAGAGAAGAACAAGUUGGAGAGUAACUGCUCCAGCCUUGACGGUAUCUGACCAGAAAGCCACGGCUAACUACGUGCCAGCAGCGGC